UACGUAGGGCGCAAGCGUUUAUCCGGAAUUAUUGGGCGUAAAGAGCUCGUAGGCGGUUUGUCGCGUCUGCCGUGAAAGUCCGGGGCUCAACUCCGGAUCUGCGGUGGGUACGGGCAGACUAGAGUGAUGUAGGGGAGACUGGAAUUCCUGGUGUAGCGGUGAAAUGCGCAGAUAUCAGGAGGAACACCGGUGCGGAAGGCGGUUCUCUGGGCAUUACCUGACGCUGAGGAGCGAAAGUGUGGGGAGCGAACAGG
rnacentral:rRNA from 1 species